AAAUUAACACUGGAAAUUAAUGGUGCUAUAUUUCAUGUUCCAAAUGCUAACGCAAGCUCCAAUGUUGAUUCUCAGCUUUAACAUGCCAAAAUCACAAUGCAGUGGGUGUUGUAAGGAACCGUUUGUAAAUAAAUGUCUCGGAUGUAUAUGACUGCUUAGUUUGUUGCUUUUGACAGUGAAAUCACUAAGCUUGCAAUGUGUCAGGACAGCAAAAGCAUCUCAGCUGAUGAUUGUGAAUGAAAGGCACAAGCAGGGAACAUAUAUGUAGCUGCGUUCGACUCGACAUGUAGCGGUAUCUGCAGAUCCGCUGAUCCCAUUGUGGAGGUUAACAUGCAAUGUGUUGACCUGGAAAUCAUUAUUUGGAAGCUACAUUUCGAGGCAUUUCCUCAACAUAUAAAUAUACCAUAGACAUAGUUUGAUAUUUAUAAUACUCAGUGAUCAUGGAGUCUGCCGAAAACAGUCUUUUUGCAUAUUCUAUAUGGAACCAAGAGAUAUGUCCUUUGUUUGAUGAUUGUAUUAUGAUAGCUACUAAUAUAGGAGAUGACUAG